GAUCGGAGACUGAACCCACAACCUAGGUAUGUGCCCUGACCAGAAAUUAAACCUGCAACAUUUUGGUGCAUGGGACGAUGCUCCAACCAACGGAGCCACCUGGCCACAGUGGAAGUGUGCCUCUGCAGACAAGGCUUGGGGAGACUGACCUUGAAGCAAGAGAAAUUGCUUCAUUUCCCUCCAAAGAAUCUCAUAAUAGGAAUGUGAUAUGAGUAGGAUUUGACAUUGUAACAUUCUGUUCAUAGAAACAUGUACCGCCCUCUCUUCCUGCCUGAGGGGGACUGGUUCUAGGAUCCCCCGUGGACACCAAAUCCUCAGGUGCUCGAGUCCCUUAUAUAAAAUGGCACGUUUGCAUAUAACCUGCACAUCCUUCUGUAUAAUUUAACCUCUGGAUUAUUUAUAAUCUGUAAUAUAAUGUAAAUGGUAUACCGUAUUGUUUAGGGAACAGUGACAAAAAAAGUCUGAGCAUGUUCAGGAGAUGCAAACAUCAUAGGCCUAACUACAUAGUACUGUAGUACUAUGGUAACUACAUAGUAGAUGACCCACUGUAUGUCGGUAACAGCCAAGAGAGUACUCGCUAGCACACCUGCCUCUGCAGAGGAGUGGGAAGGGGAAGUCCCCUCAGAAAUAGGACAGGCCCCUCCUUGAUGAAUUUACUAAAGUUCAGGGUCAUGCCUUUUUAGGCUCAGCUUGCAUUUGGACCCAGAUUAACUAGAUUCAUGGAUCUGAUGGAAGCAGGAGAAUGCCAUUUUGUAAAUAUCCCACGAGAAAUUGCACAUGGCAUGGUAAUAGGCUGGCACGUGUGGUCUCUGCAGAGGCCCAACUUACUGUGCGAUGAGGAAGAUGAAGUUAUUCUAGAUUAUCAACACUGUGUGCCAAGUACUAUGCUGUGUACUAAAGAUACACUUGUGAACAAGACAAAAGCAUAUUACUUCUUGCAGGCACACCCCUGUGGAAUCGGGGGGUACUCGGUGAGUUGAACACUGGCUGGAAACUAAGAAGGUCGGUGGAAUCGAUUCAGGUCUAGUGAUGCCCUUGUGUGGAAGCAGCAGUAGGACCUACUCUGCCCUGGGAAGUGUUAGGCUGCGCGGUGCCUCAGCUUCUCAGUGUCUCUUUGAAAACAUCUGUCAUUAAUACCUUCAUGUCUUAGUCACAUUGGAAAAUUCUGCCUACUUCCCACUCGGACGCCUUCAGGGGGCUCUGUGUGCCGUGUUUAGGUGCCCACAGAGGUGUGUGGGAGUCCUCCCCGUACACUUGGAAGACGAGGUAGUAAAAAGGAGAUUGCUGUACAAGCACACCCACCGUUCCUUGUGUUUUCCUCAGUUCGGGGCAUGUUUGGGGGUCACACUGGCUCUCUGCUGAGAAAAUGGUCACGCCCUGGACGACCCUGCUGCUGAGCUGGUGUUAAGCUGCCAGAGAAGACACCAACAUGCAAACUAGCCCCACUGACAACCAUGACUCUCUCACAUGUCUGGACAUUUCCAUUUAGGAGAAUUAUUACCUGCUUGUCUUGCAUUUUAUCUUCCUCUAGUGUUCUCCAUGUGAUUCAAAAUUAAGAGAACUUACAUUGUAUUCUUCGAUAGCAGUGGUCUUAGUGUAACAAUAUGUUCUCAUCUGUUGUGCUUACUACUUGAUAUACUUCUGCAACUUUAACCCAGACCUUUGCUUAGGAAAGAAUGUAUAAUCACACCAUUGCACAGGCUAGAAGAUGAAAAGUAACCUUUGAUGUCUUUUACUUCCAGAUCCAAUCACUUAAUCCUGUUGACUUUAUUGUGUAUCUCCUGAAUCUGAUCACUUAUUCCCAUCUCUUCUAUCAAUGCCCUACUUAGAUUUUUUUUAAAGGUUAAGAUUAUGCAAGAUGAGUUACUUUCUUCUUCCAUUACCUAAAUGCUUGAUAAGCCAUGUAUAAACUGAUGUUGGAGUUUUGGGACCUCUGAAGUUCACUAUCAUGGUUAUGAUUUCAAAUUCUAGAGUCACACCACCAGUGAGGUGUGAGGAAGGCAAAUACACUUGGGAGAAAGUUACUUUCCACCUGCUUGAGCAUUGCAUCACGGGUCUUGAUGGUUGCCAGUCCUUAAAGGUGAACUAUAUGUGUGUAUUUUAGUCCUUGGAAAAUCUAGAGAGAAAUUAGGGUGAUGAGAUAGGGGUAAAGGCUAAAAUGCUGACAUCCAAGGUGUUUGACUAGGAGAAUUAAAAGGGUCUUUGGGGAUUUUUUAAAAACCCUCAUGGAGGAUAUCUUUAUUAGAGAGAGAGGAAGGGGAAGGGAGAAAGCGAACCUGGUGUGGGAGAAACAGUUGCCUCCUACAAGCGACCCACAACCCACGGGAUGGAACUGGCAACCCUUGGAGUACAGGACUAGGCUCCAAUUCACUGAGCCAUCUGGCCAGGGCUUGGAGAUUGUUUCUAUUUCCAAGAUUUGGCUUAUAUUUCUCAUUGCUAUUACUCUGGAAACCAGAAACCAGAAGUUUAAGUCUAUCAGCGUAGAAGCCGCUGGGAUUACACCAGCAUUAUUUGGCAUUACGACCGUCUCGUCUCAUACAAAAUGAUCCGAGGUGGCGUUAUGGGGCGGGGUCUCAAAUCCAAAGUGCAAAUGCGUUAUUGCAUUCUUUUUGAGAACAGAUUUUUAAGCAAGAACACCCAAGGAUUUUACUUAGGUUGGCUCUGCCUAAAGUGCAAUAUCUUCCUCUGUCUCCAGCCAUUAAAAUAAAAUAAGCCCCAACCAAGGAAUGGCUUCCACGUGUUCGGGAAGGCGGUGCUGUGUCCAAAGACGACUCGAUCGAGACACGUCAAGGACACGGCAACAUCCACAAUAAAGCCUCAACCGAGGGCAACUGAAGAGUGUUUAAUUACCCCAUUUGCCCGAGAAUUUGGCUUUUAGAAAGAUAUGCAAAAC